rnacentral:misc_RNA from 1 species
AACGCAAGUUGCGGUCCUCGGUACACCGGGGACCACACCUUCUUGAGUAUCGAUUCUAUCUAAACUCGACGGCGUGCGUAAAAAACACGUGCAGUCGGAGAAUGAGAUUUCGAGUUGUACUUUUUUAGUGUGACUCGUGUCUUUAAAUGAUAGAUUGGUCUAUCAGUACUUGUUUCUGACUUGUUUUGGUUGGAAUAAGACUAAACAUGGAUAACAUCCAAUAUGUUUUUGGUCGUACCCUCAGAGCUAGUUGUUACAAGUUUGACCACACCUGGCAACUCAUGUUUGAAUAAUGAUCUCAAGUAAGGCGAGAGAACCCCCUGAACUUAA